rnacentral:rRNA from 1 species
GAUGAACGCUGGCGGCGUGCCUAAUACAUGCAAGUCGAGCGAACAGACGAGGAGCUUGCUCCUCUGACGUUAGCGGCGGGCGGGUGAGUAACACGUGGAUAACCUACCUAUAAGACUGGGAUAACUUCGGGAAACCGGAGCUAAUACCGGAUAAUAUAUUGAACCGCAUGGUUCAAUAGUGAAAGACGGUUUUGCUGUCACUUAUAGAUGGAUCCGCGCCGCAUUAGCUAGUUGGUAAGGUAACGGCUUACCAAGGCAACGAUGCGUAGCCGACCUGAGAGGGUGAUCGGCCACACUGGAACUGAGACACGGUCCAGACUCCUACGGGAGGCAGCAGUAGGGAAUCUUCCGCGAUGGGCGAAAGCCUGACGGAGCAACGCCGCGUGAGUGAUGAAGGUCUUCGGAUCGUAAAACUCUGUUAUUAGGGAAGAACAAAUGUGUAAGUAACUAUGCACGUCUUGACGGUACCUAAUCAGAAAGCCACGGCUAACUACGUG